GGCCUAAUGGUCUAGUAGUAUGAUUCUUCCUUCGGGUUCUCCGCAACCCGCGCUGGAGGCGCGGGUGUUCAAACCCGCGUCGUGACCCGACGCGUCAGAUGGAAGAGGUCCUGGGUUCAAUUCCCAGUUAGGCCC